rnacentral:rRNA from 1 species
UGCCAGUGAUAAACUGGAGGAAGGUGGGGAUGACGUCAAGUCAUCAUGGCCCUUACGACCAGGGCUACACACGUGCUACAAUGGCGCAUACAAAGAGAAGCGACCUCGCGAGAGCAAGCGGACCUCAUAAAGUGCGUCGUAGUCCGGAUUGGAGUCUGCAACUCGACUCCAUGAAGUCGGAAUCGCUAGUAAUCGUGGAUCAGAAUGCCACGGUGAAUACGUUCCCGGGCCUUGUACACACCGCCCGUCACACCAUGGGAGUGGGUUGCAAAAGAAGUAGGUAGCUUAACCUUCGGGAGGGCGCUUACCACUUUGUGAUUCAUGACUGGGGUGAAGUCGUAACAAGGUAACCGUAGGGGAACCUGCGGUUGGAUCAC